AUUCAGCUGACCAGUGCCAAAUAGGACGAAACGAGCUUAAACUGGAU
rnacentral:hammerhead_ribozyme from 1 species